GAUUAAGUUAUUAAGGGCGCACGGUGGAUGCCUUGGCACUAGAAGCCGAUGAAGGACGUUACUAACGACGAUAUGCUUUGGGGAGCUGUAAGUAAGCUUUGAUCCAGAGAUUUCCGAAUGGGGAAACCCAGCAUGAGUUAUGUCAUGUUAUCGAUAUGUGAAUACAUAGCAUAUCAGAAGGCACACCCGGAGAACUGAAACAUCUUAGUACCCGGAGGAAGAGAAAGAAAAUUCGAUUCCCUUAGUAGCGGCGAGCGAAACGGGAAGAGCCCAAACCAACAAGCUUGCUUGUUGGGGUUGUAGGACACUCUAUACGGAGUUACAAAGGACGACAUUAGACGAAUCAUCUGGAAAGAUGAAUCAAAGAAGGUAAUAAUCCUGUAGUCGAAAAUGUUGUCUCUCUUGAGUGGAUCCUGAGUACGACGGAGCACGUGAAAUUCCGUCGGAAUCUGGGAGGACCAUCUCCUAAGGCUAAAUACUCUCUAGUGACCGAUAGUGAACCAGUACCGUGAGGGAAAGGUGAAAAGCACCCCGGAAGGGGAGUGAAAUAGAACCUGAAACCGUGUGCUUACAAGUAGUCAGAGCCCGUUAAUGGGUGAUGGCGUGCCUUUUGUAGAAUGAACCGGCGAGUUACGAUUUGAUGCAAGGUUAAGCAGUAAAUGUGGAGCCGUAGCGAAAGCGAGUCUGAAUAGGGCGUUUAGUAUUUGGUCGUAGACCCGAAACCAGGUGAUCUACCCUUGGUCAGGUUGAAGUUCAGGUAACACUGAAUGGAGGACCGAACCGACUUACGUUGAAAAGUGAGCGGAUGAACUGAGGGUAGCGGAGAAAUUCCAAUCGAACCUGGAGAUAGCUGGUUCUCUCCGAAAUAGCUUUAGGGCUAGCCUCAAGUGAUGAUUAUUGGAGGUAGAGCACUGUUUGGACGAGGGGCCCCUCUCGGGUUACCGAAUUCAGACAAACUCCGAAUGCCAAUUAAUUUAACUUGGGAGUCAGAACAUGGGUGAUAAGGUCCGUGUUCGAAAGGGAAACAGCCCAGACCACCAGCUAAGGUCCCAAAAUAUAUGUUAAGUGGAAAAGGAUGUGGCGUUGCCCAGACAACUAGGAUGUUGGCUUAGAAGCAGCCAUCAUUUAAAGAGUGCGUAAUAGCUCACUAGUCGAGUGACACUGCGCCGAAAAUGUACCGGGGCUAAACAUAUUACCGAAGCUGUGGAUUGUCCUUUGGACAAUGGUAGGAGAGCGUUCUAAGGGCGUUGAAGCAUGAUCGUAAG
rnacentral:rRNA from 1 species